rnacentral:rRNA from 1 species
GGCGAACGUUGGCGGCGUGCUUAAUACAUGCAAGUCCACUGAAGCAGUGGUAGCAAUAUCGCUGUGGAGGUGGCGCACGGGUGAGUAACACGUAGGUAAUCUGCCUUCAGGUCUGGCAUAACUCCGGGAAACCGGGGCUAAUAGCAGAUGAUGCAGCGGCUCGACAUCGAGACAGUUGUUAAAGCUAUGGCGCCUGAAGAUGAGCCUGCGUCUGAUUAGCUAGUUGGCGGGGUAACGGCCCACCAAGGCAACGAUCAGUAGCUGGUCUGAGAGGAUGAUCAGCCACACUGGAACUGAGACACGGUCCAGACUCCUACGGGAGGCAGCAGUAAGGAAUAUUGCUCAAUGGGAGAAAUCCUGAAGCAGCAACGCCGCGUGAGGGACGAAGGGCUUUUGCUUGUAAACCUCUGUAGUGAGAGAAAAAAAUCCCAAUCUUUGGGACAUGAUGGUAUCUCAAAAGUAAGCCCCGGCUAACUACGUG